rnacentral:rRNA from 1 species
CUAGUAACUGCGAGUGAAGCGGGAAGAGCUCAAAUUUUGAAUCUGGCGGUCUUUGGCCGUCCGAGUUGUAAUCUAGAGAAGCGUCUUCCGCGCUGGACCGUGUACAAGUCUCCUGGAAGGGAGCGUCAUAGAGGGUGAGAAUCCCGUCUUUGACACGGACUGCCAGUGCUAUGUGAUGCGCUCUCGACGAGUCGAGUUGUUUGGGAAUGCAGCUCCAAUUGGGUGGUAAAUUCCAUCUAAAGCUAAAUACAGGCGAGAGACCGAUAGCGAACAAGUACCGUGAGGGAAAGAUGAAAAGAACUUUGGAAAGAGAGUUAAACAGUACGUGAAAUUGCUGAAAGGGAAACGCUUGAUGUCAGUCGCGUCGGCCGGGGAUCAACCUUGCUUUUCGCUGGGUGUAUUUCCUGGUCGACGGGUCAGCAUCAGUUUCGGUCGUCGUACAAGGAUCGAGGGAACGUGGCACUCUUCGGAGUGUGUUAUAGCCUUUGGUCGAAUGCGAUGGUCGGGACUGAGGAACUCAGCACGGCUCUGCUUGUGCUUAGGAUGCUGGCAUAAUGGCCUUAAGCGACCCGUCUUGAAACACGGACCAAGGAGUCUAACAUGCCUGCGAGUGUUUGGGUGGUAAACCCGAGCGCGAAAUGAAAGUGAAAGUUGAGACCUCUGUCGUGGAGGGCAUCGACGCCCGGACCUGAGUCUUUGACGACGGAUCUGCGGUA